rnacentral:lncRNA from 1 species
AGUAGGUAGACUAAUUAGUACUUAGGAUAAUUGCUAGCCUAUGACAUGUGGCCUCCUAUGUUAAUUUAACCCCUCCAUUUUAGUUUAUCCAUCAAUUAAAUUAUGUGUCAAUGACAUGUGGACCACAUUCUCCCUUUUAACUAGUCAAAGUUGACUUGCUCAACUCGGAUUAAAACAAAUUAAAAUAAAACAAAAACUUUAGAAAUUGUUUAAACCUUUGAAAAUUAAUAGAAAAUAAUCCGUAUGUCAGAUGAAAAAGUAUUAUACAUGAAAGUUGCUCAGAACGAUGAGACGAAUCCGAAUACGCUGUCCGUUCGUCCGCCACACAUUCCUAGCAUAGCGAACAUCGAACUUUUUCCCUCCAGUUCAUCUGUCCGAAAACGUGAAACACCGGGGAUACUUUCCCAGAUAUUUUCCCGCCUUUGCCGGUAUCACCUAGUACUGUGUUAGGUCACCCCUAGCAUCGGGUAUUGCCAUGUUAUGCUUUGUGAUGCUCUGAUUGCUCUGUUAUUUAUUGGUUCCCCCUCUGUUACUUCUUUCUGGUAGACCCCAAGACCGGGGUUGAACCAAUGACUGACUACUUCACCUUCGAGGGUCCGUUUCUGUCUGCAGAGCAACCAGGCAAGCCCCCCCUGAUCACCAGAUAUCGCCUAUUCUUCUCUCUACUGCUUGCAUUAGAGUAGUGUAUCAUGUUAUUGCUUUCGGUUAAUCCUAUUCUCUUGCAUAGCCUGGCAUUGUUGCUUUAGUUGUUAACCUUACCUGCAAUCCUAAAUGCUUAGUAUAGGAUGCUACAUUCUUGUCCGUCUGCCAUGCUAUACUAUCGGGCCGUGAUCACUCGGGAGGUGAUCACGGGUAUAUACUUAUACAUAUUAUAUGAUACCUGUGGUGAUUAAAAUCGGGUCGGCUCAUAAAGUACCCGCGAGUGAUUCACGGAUUGGGUCUGAAAGGACGUUUGUCUCGACGGCCCUCUGAAUGGAUCUUUCUGGCGGAGCGACAGGGCAGGUUGAGACCGCCUAGGAGAGAGGUGGGCCUGGCCCUGGUCGGCGUCCGCGGUUAUUUCAAAAUAGCACGCUUAAUGAGAUCUGGGUAUUUGAUCUAAGUCUGGCAACUGGCCUAUACGCACUAACCAACUACGCGGGAACAGUUAUGGGCACUCGACGUCGUGGUAUCAGCCGAAGCCUUCUUGACGUUAGCGACUGAGCGGUGCGCGCCGGGUUGGACUAGAACACCUGUUCGUGUAUAAGAGAGGCUAGGUCUGCUCGCCGGCCGCGUACGCAACAUGCAGGUGUGCAAUGGGCGAUGGGCCCAGACCCCUGCGCCAUAGGAUUUGGACCGGCGUGCUGACCUCUCUGUUGUGCCUAGGUAGGGCUGCGACGUGUUGAUCUUCUGAGGCCGGGCAUGACCUAGAAAAGUGUGUCUGGCCAAAGCAGAUCAAGCAUGUUGGGAAAUGUGGUGCACCCCUGCAGGGAAGUUUAUCUAUUCGAAUAGCCGUAUCCCUCGGUAAAAGGACGACCCGGAGUUGUACCUUGACCUUAUGACAACUAGAACCGGAUACUUAAUAAAACACACCCUUUCAAGUGCCAGAUACAACCCGGUGGUCGCUCUCUCACAGGGCGGCGAGGGGAGGAUCGCCGGGUAGGUUUAUGCUAUGCGGUGAUACUUGGUUAACUUACCAUCUACUCUCUUAUACUCCUUCAAGACGAAGGCUGCCAGAAGCGUAGUCCUCGAUAGGACUAGCUAUCCCCUCUUAUUCUGACAUUCUGCAGUUUAGUCCAUGGAUACUGCCCAUUUCAUUGAUACCAAUGCAUAUGUAGUGUAGAUCCUUGCUUGCGAGUACUUUGGAUGAGUACUCAUGGUUGCUUUGCUCCCCCUUUUCCCCCUUCCUAUACCCUGUUGUUGCGACCAGAUGAUGGAUUCCAGGAGCCAGAGGAUCCCGAGGAUGAUUCUACUUGUAGUUUGGCUUCGAGGAGUAGUUAGGAGGUCCCAGGCAGGAGGCCUUGCCUUUUCGAUCGUUGCUACUUUUGUGCUAGCCUUCUUAAGGCAAACUUGUUUAACUCAUGUUUCUACUCAGAUAUUGUUGCUUCCACUGACUCUUGUGUCUUCUAGCAUAUGUAUUCGAGCCUUCGAGGCCCCUGGCUUGUAAUAUAAAGCUUGUAUUAUUUUAUUUGUGUGUAGAGUUGUGUUGUGAUAUCUUCCCGUGAGUCCCUAAUCUUGGUCGUACACAUUUGCGUGUAUGAUUAGUGUAUGGUCAAAUCGGGGGCGUCACAAGUUGGUAUCAGAGCCGACUACCUGUAGGAAUCCCCCUUCCACACUCCUUGGCCGAAGUCGAGUCUAGUCAGUGAAAACUGUUUUACUAACAUGGCUGUGCGGCCCAUGGGCCCACGUCGCCAUUGGGUGGUAUUAGGAUCUUUUAUUCCUCGACCUAUACUCUGGGACUCUGAUCUCUCUUCUAUUCGGGUUAAAUGAUUUUACUAACUCUAACUCUAGGUUCUCGUAAUUACUUCCUCCCGGAGAGCCCCUCGCCCGAGAUGAUUGCUUGGUGCGCCGAAGGAUUCCGAAGAUAUUCUCCAAUGUUAUCCCGAGAACUUGUGGUCAUUAUGUUUGCAAUUCCCUUCCACCGUCAACCCCUAUAGAAAACUACAUGCACUUGCCAUUCUUACAUUAGUCCCGAGUUGCUCUUGUUAUUACAAGAUACCCUAAAAUACUCGUUGUUGUUCCGGGAAUACUUUGUGCCUUCUGCCUUGCAGUUCUUUGCCGCCUGAAUACCCUUACGGAUAGUUUCUCGCACUUAUCAAGUAUUCGCUCAUCCCGGUUGAUUCAUGUAUUUCACAAAAGUCUCCGAAAGACCUUUCGAUCCCCGAAAAUCCUCAACAACCUAUUGCUCUUGAAAUUCUUGCUUGCUUGCAUUAUGAAUUAAUCCCAUAAGUCUGGUAAUCUUAUUGGCAUCCUUUGUCAUUAUCAUUUUGAGUCCGUUAAUUCGAUAUGUUGUGAAUGCUCGCAAUCCUCAAUCAGAUCCUAGAAUUCAUCCUCCCGGCUCAGGCGUCAUUUUAAACAUGAGCUGGAUCUCGACCAAUCAAAUUUCCAUCGAUUGUACCCCCAAGGCUAUUCUACUUAUCCAUCCCUUGUCUUGGAAUUCAUAAUUCCUUUGCAUUUGAGCUUUGAGUUAGUCAGUUGUUUCUAUAAUUUGAUCUCCUUGUGUUCUUUCUUCCUCAGGUUGAGUAACGAUGCUCACAUAAGAUCCCGUGUGGACCACCAGAACCUUUGUCGGAAUUUAUCCGACAACGUCCUUCAUAUUCAAUAAGCUUGUGAGCCUUUCCUCGGAUACAUAAUGCCUUUGGUAAAUUGUAUCCUCUGCUUUUCUCAAGCAUGCUCUACUAUCGAGCUAGUGUUAUUUAUUCUUGAAAUUUAUGGUAUAUGAUUCUAAGAUGCCCUAUGGGUUGAACCUAUGCCUUCCCCAAACCGUAUGAACACAAAAGUUUUCACGGGUAAUACUCCUCUAUUAAUUCACUAGGUAGGUUUUCACACUCAAGUCGUUUUUAAUAAGAGCAGUGAAUGAUGGGUCGUACAUUGGAGAAGUGAGAGUCGACCUUGAACCUUGUGUUCAUGCCCAUGAACAUGAUGUAGAUCUUAUCAUGGAAGCUACUCUUAAAUUAAUUAUUCCCUUGGUAUAAGUUCAUCUUAUAUCUAGGAUCUGGUCUUUUGCAAUCGUGGUUCCGGCCAUAUUGAUUUUCUUUGAAUUUAUUUCUCGGACUAGUUAAAGUACUUGUCUUUUGCAGAUCAUCACACAGGUCCAACCUUUAUUCCAAUAUACCGUUGGGUAUUAACCUUUGGUAUCUCGAGGGUAUUAUAGAACUGUAUUACUCCUUAUGAGUUCUCCAUCAUGUAUUACUUCUCACCAAUAUCAGUUGUUCCCCGGGUUUGAGUUGUUCGUCACUCGUGAACUCAGACAAGUGACUCGAGUCCAUUUUAUGGCUCACUACUCAUGGUAAUUGUUGCUGGUAAAUUUAAACUCGAUCAUGUCAUUCCUAGCCCGAUUGUCUACAUCAUUAUCAUACUGAUUUUUUAACUAUGCUACCUGGUCCUUCUUCCCAGAGCACCAUUUUCGAGGAUGAGCUAAGCUUAUGUUGAGCUUGUUUGUCAUACCUUUUCACCUUGAGCGGCUAGAUUGAUCCUGACCUUGCAUCUUACUUGUGGUUCCAAUAAUCUUUCGUUGCAUCAGUCCUUUUGCUUUAUGUCGUCGAUGAUUGGUUACAUCUUCAUGAAACCUCUCGGCAAAUGUGUCAUGAUCAUCAUCAAGAUUCUGAGCUCUUCCAGGAUAUCAAUCGAAUUCAUGAUGGGAAAUACCAUCCUUGCCCUUCAAUGAUUUGUGUUAUCAUCAACAACAUUAUUGCCUUCCCUCCAAUAGAAAACUUGUUCUUGUUUUGUGUCGUACCUUGAGAUCCUUGCUAUCCAACUUAUGUUAUGUUCUACCUUGGAGUAUUACCAUCUUUUAUGUAAAGAAUGUUGUUAGAAUUUCACCACCUCUUAAGAAUUCUUGAUACAAGUGAUACUUCUCUCCUUCUCUAUUCGUUUCUUGGUCCCUGUGUUGUUUCUAACCAGAAUACCCACAAAUAGACUAUGAUGUGUAAAAUUCAAAACUUCUAGCAACCCUAUUGUUUUGAAGUGAAUGGUUGAUAGUUUCAUUCUAAUUCUUCUGUUCAUUAAGUCACCAUUCUAACAUUGAUCGUCCAACCCAGCCCAUAUUUUGGGUGCACCUUUCAACCAAUGUUUAAUUGUGUAUGUUUUUUUAGCAUACAUCAUUAUAUCAUUUGAUAUGACAAUUGUUACCUCCUUGUUGACAUAAUUGUGGAAAUCCAUCUUCUUGGUAAUCUUGACGAAAUGUCGCUGAGUCCAUCAGCCAUCUCCUCAUCCUCUCCUUGGUUUACUGAUGAACUCUUGUUUUCUGAACUCGCUUCCAUGGUUCAUUUCUCGAGGAUCUUACAAUGUCAUCUCGUCAAUUUGUGUUGCACCUUUUCUUCUCAGGCAUCCUAAGUCUGAGGUGUCCUAACACUGAUCAGAUCUGAAUCUCGGUCUGAUAUGGUGGUUGGAGCAUCUUCCAAGAGUCAUAACAUUGGUCUUUAUAUAGCCUGAUAAGGUGAUGUCAUGCCUAGCACACCUGGCUGGAGAACCUAUUGUUAUAGUUUCCUUUUGAGCAAGGUUAACCAUUCUUUCAUGAGAAAAUUUUAAGAGUUAUUCUAUAAGUUGUUCAUGAUGAAUCCUUUGUGUAUCCAAGUUUGAUCUUUGCUUGAAGACCAUGUCAAUGCUAUCUGAAGCAUGUCCGUGGUACUCCGAUUUUCAACAAGAACAUUUGAAGCCUAAUGCUAAAUGUUUCUUGCUCAAUUAUCCAAACACCAUUGUAUAGGCAAUGUCAUGAAAUUUUAUCUCCCCUUACCUAAAGGGUUUUCUAGUUUAUAUCCUGUCAUGGAUAUCAUGCUUUUCUUGUCGUUGGGAAGGAUAUACCCUUGAAAUAUGUGUUUAAACACAUUUUCCUUUCCAUUGCUCUGUUGAAACUGAUAAUCAUAUUUUCCUUUCCAUUGUUUGGUUUAACCUUUCUUGUGAUAUAUAUGAUCUAAGUACUAAUAUUCUCCUGCUUACGUAAACACCUCGGUGUACAAUUCUGUCAGUAAGACCCUAUUGCUUUUGUUGAUGACAUUCCGGUAACCACCAAUGGAUGAGAACUUUGCCUAUUGGUUCGCCUCAUUCAACGAGCAGGAAAAUGGUUCUCUUCGUCCCUCGCCCUUGGUAUCGAUGUUGCUGUCGACAUAACUGAUAGGCUAUCCUCUGACCUACCUUGCUUACAUGAUCGUGUAAGAUGGCAUCGCCUCCCUACUUUUAACCCACCUGGUGGGCCCAUAACCCACAGUUCCACAGGAUCGAAACCUAACUCUCCUGCACACCCCCUGGUUUCCAAGGUUAUUCCUCGCGCUUGACUCCAUAUGCAUUCACGGGUCACCUUCCUAGAUAUGGCCUAUUCUGGUAAGAGAUACAAUAGUUAUUACCGUUGCACUGAACCCCUUUCACGCCCUGUUUCAAGCAAUGAACGAUUGCCUAUCCCCUCGAAACUUCUUAUUGCACCAUCUUAAUUGCUCUCGAUAUUUUCUUAAGUUCCAAUUGGAGAGUUACUUCCCUCCACCUUCCUUGAUGUUAUCUAUCAGAUAAGCAACCUUGUAGACGUCCGUUCUUCCAAAGUUACCCCUUAUCCUUUUCGUAAGUACGAUGGAGUUUCUGAAGAAAGGAUGACGACUUCAUCAUGAUAACAUGAAGUAGAGAAAUGAAGACAUCCACUUAAUGGAUUGACCUCUUCCAGAAGGGCAACCAAGACCAAGAAGAUCCAUUAGAAUUUCGUAACCAAACUUUCCCCCUUACUCCACCUCUUAAAUCUCGGGACGAGAUUUCUUGUAGUGGAGGAGAAUUUUGACACCCGGAUAGUUAAGCUACAGUAACCCUCUCCUAAUAACACCAUGUCACCUCGAUUACUGUUGUUAAUCUCCCAAAGUUCAAAACCGAUUCAGAAUUCAAAUUUAAAAUAAAGUCAAACUAGAAAAGUUUUCAAAUGUCAAAACUAAAAGUACAAAUAGUGACAAAUAAUGCAUAGGUAAUUAUGGUGAAGAACCCACAUUUAAAUAAAAUAUUUAAAUGCACUAUGAUGAUUUAAACAGUAGCGAAAAGCAAUUAUUUAAAUGCUUUUGGUAUUUUACUAAAUACUAAACUAUUUUAUUUUGGGGUAAAACCUUUUAUGAGAGUGGGUUGUUCUGAAACAUUAUUUUAGGGGGUAUUGUCAUAUUUUACUAAUCUAAAAAUAAGGUGUAACUAAAAUAAAACAGAAAAGAAAAAUAACAAAAAAUAAAAGUAAAAGAAACAGAAAAGUUAAAGAAAAAGAGUGAAAGCCUCACUGUUGGACUGGGCUCUAUGUCCACAGUAAAGGCCCAGCCCAACCCCCUCUCUCAUCUUCAACCCCUGUUCACACGAGGCUGGGUGGCUGCCCCUCACACGUUCAUGCCCAUGGAUGGCCACGUGCCGGCCAUCCAGCUCUUCCCCGUCGCCUAUUUGUCCCCCCCAGACCUCGUUGACGAACCCUAGCCCCGAAAUUCCCCUCUCCCACUCGUGCUUCUCCUCUGAACCUCGUGUCCGAGUUGUCGUCGAUGCGCCGUCGCCGUCCACGCGGCCACUAGCCUCCCCAGCGACCGGGAGGUUGCCCAGGGACUUCCUCGUCGUCGACUCCGUCAUCCCCGUGCUUCCGUUCAACUGGAGCCACACCAUAUGCGUGGAUCGAGCCGUCUUCCCCGCCACGGCCUCCGCCGUUCGUCAGCAGAUUUGCCGCCUCCCGAGCUCCCCCGACCUCCAAACGUUGUCCACGAGCUCCGCGGUGAGCUCCUCUCCAGGUCCCUCUCUUUAGCCCCCUCGAUCCACUGCCGUUGUGCCUGCGCGUGCCGAGGCCGCAAUGGCCGGUGCUCGCGCCCGCGCUCAUUCAUCCUUGCGCUCACCGCGCCCAUGGGCAUGCGCACCUGGUUGCGUCCCACCACGCCCCUGCACCUGCCCACGCUCGUGCAUCCGCCCACAGCCUGUGCCUGCUGCUCUUGUACUGCCGCCUCCGCUGCGCUGCUUUUCUGCUCUACUGUUGCUCUACACUACUGCUACCCGCCGCUGGCCGUAGCUCCCUUGCUGUAGCUCGUGCCACUGCUGGCCAUGGCCGCCGUGGCCUUGUGCCCGUGCGUACUAGCCAUGGCUAGUCCUGUGUGUGCAGCGUGUGUGUUGUGUAGGUGUGUGUGUCCUGUGUGUGCAGCGUGUGUGUUGUGUGUGUGAGCGUGUUGUGUGUGUGCGUGAGAGACAUGGCUGGCUCACUGCCAAGUGGGGCCGGCCCUGAUUAGUUUAGGUUGAUUAAAUAAUUAGUGGGUAGAGUAGUUAGACUAAUUAGUACUUAGGAUAAUUGCUAGCCUAUGACAUGUGGCCUCCUAUGUUAAUUUAACCCCUCCAUUUUAGUUUAUUCAUCAAUUAAAUUAUGUGUCAAUGACAUGUGGGCCACAUUCUCCCUUUUGACUAGUCAAAGUUGACUUGGUCAACUCGUACUAAAACAAAUUAAAAUAAAAUCAGAAACUUUACAAAUUGUUUAAACCUUUGAAAAUUAAUAGAAAAUAAUCCGUAUGUCAGAUGAAAAAAGUAUUAUACAUGAAAGUUGCUCAGAACGACG